CAGGAUCACUGAAUUUUAAAAAUUAUCUCAUUCAUCAUUGAAUUUUGCAAAAACUUUCGCAGGGGUCAUCGAGUCCCCGUGGAAAUUUUUUGACAAGUUUAGUGAUAAAUGGAGUGAUUUUUGAAGUUCAGUGAUCCUG
rnacentral:miRNA from 1 species